UGGAUCACCUCCUAACAGGGAGACAAUCCAAGAUUUUGAUGCUUGAGUGCUUUUAUUCUUAGGUCAAAAUCCUGUCACCUUAGGUCGAUCGGUACCUCAGCUUUGAAUCCAUCCAACGAGCAGGAAUGCAAGUGAGGAUGGGGACAAUUUUCAGUUCCUAAACUUUGUCUAGGUCACACCCCAAAAGGGAUGAGACUCCUGGGCCAUUAGCUCAGGUGGUUAGAGCGCACCCUUGAUAAGGGUGAGGUCCCUGGUUCAAGUCCAGGAUGGCCCAUUCGGUGUUGGGGGUUUAGCUCAGUUGGUAGAGCGCCUGCUUUGCAAGCAGGAUGUCAGGAGUUCGAGUCUCCUAACCUCCACUGACCGAUCUCAAUCCUCAAUGUCCAGUCAUGGAGUUUUGAGUUCAGUUGGAGUGUGAUUUAGAUGUGUCCGCUAGAGGAACCCAGCUUCCUGUCAUUCCAGCGAUAGAGAGAAAUCUAUCGAUGGCUGAUAAGAUGCUGGGCUCGAAUCAGGUGAUCAAGCAAUUGAUGAUUUGAUUUGAAGUCUGGCAGAACCUUGACAACUGCAUAGGUGAGUCUGGAAAGAAUAAAGCAUCUCAUGGAUGAUGCGAUGACUCUGAAUGAUGACCCGAAAGGGUGAUGAUGAGGAGUGAUUGCAAAUUCUAUCGAGCAAGAGCCGAGACUCCAUCACGUUCUUCUGAUUGUGUCGAGCAAUGAGGAGUUAGAUCUUUGAUUCAGCAAUGAAUCAGGGAGAAUCUGUUUCAACGACAGCAAGCGUGUUGGAGAUACAUUGGUCAAGCUACAAAGGGCUCACGGUGGAUACCUUGGCACACAGAGGCGAUGAAGGA
rnacentral:tRNA from 1 species